rnacentral:misc_RNA from 1 species
GAUGAAGAACGCAGCGAAAUGCGAUAAGUAAUGCGAAUUGCAGAAUUUCCGUGAGUCAUCGAAUCUUUGAACGCACAUUGCGCCCGCCAGUAUUCUGGCGGGCAUGCCUGUUCGAGCGUCAUUUCAACCAUCAAGCCCCAGGCUUGUGUUGGAGCCCUGCGGCUGCCGCAGCCUCCCAAAACCAGUGGCGGGCUCGCUAUCACACCGAGUGCAGUAGUUUACUCUUCGCUCAGGGCGUGUGGCGGGUGCUAGCCGUAAAACCCCCAACUUCUCAAGGUUGACCUCGGAUCAGGUAGGAAUACCCGCUGAACUUAAGCAUAUCAAUAAGCGGAGGA